rnacentral:antisense_RNA from 1 species
ACGCUCAGAUUCCUCCCGCGGCGGCUGCCAGCCCGGCUCCCCGGCUAGGCUCCUUCCUUUCCCUUCUUUUCUUCUCGCCCUCUCACAGCCACCUCUUUGCAUCCACUCCCUCCUGCAAUUUGCAAAGCUCCCCUGUCUCUCGCGCUUCAAGGUGCCAAGAGGUAAGUCGUGGGCAGCGGAUCUCGGGGCAACGAAUCUCGAGCCUGCGAAUCGCAGCCGCUGCCGCCGCCAGCCGGCCGCGAGAAGGAGCCCCCCGCGCGCCGUGUGCAGUUUCCGAAGCCUAGAGGCGGCCCCAGACUAGGGGCAAUCUCGCCAGGUCGCGUCCUCUUGCUCUCCCCACCCCUAGGACAAGGAACCCCCUCUUUGUAGGAAGAGAUUGAAGCCAAGACACCAGAGAGCCCCCGGCUGAUCUGACUGUCGCUAUUUUUCGUUGUAACUUCAGGAGAGGAGGAAGGAAAAUUCUUGAGCGUCUGUGCUGACUUCUCAGCACUCUUCACCCUCCCACCUCCACCCCCACCUCUGUCUGAGCGACUCCCAAGGGAAAAAGAUUUUGCAGGGUUUCGGUGUUUUUUGUUUUAAGUGACACAAAAAAAAUGAGGGGGGGGGUGGAGGGAGAUCUAGUCAAAAUAGUUUUUAGGAACUCAAGUGCAUAGCUGGACAUUUCUUUUUUCUUAUAUAUUCAAUCUUGUCAUUCCUAGAGAACAAGAAUGAGGUGUUUGUUUGUUUGUUUGUUUGUUUUUGUUUUAAGGACUGAAAAACUGUCAGCUUUGUGAUUAAAAUAAGUUGCAAAACCCUUGCUGGGGAAAAGCACCAGCCGUUUUCCAUGAAUUUAAAUAUUUUAUUAAGUCUAUUCUACAUCUAAGACUAAGUUUCGUGUCUGUCUUCCCCAGCGCUCACGGGGAAAAAUUAAAAAUACGAACUAAAAAAUUCAAAA